CACCUAAUGCCAAAAAAGCCUGCAAAGUUCUCCUCUGUUACAAAGCAACACACAAAGCCCUCCUAGUCCAUCACCUGUUGCUCAAGGCAUCUAAGAGUAGAAACACACUGAGCCCCUGGAGCCCACACUGAGAAGCUGAGCACUGAGAAGGGACCAGGAUGUGAGGAACCACAUUAGUGGUCUUUGGCCGCUAUUGCUGAUGAGCAAAAACCAGAAGGCUUAUUCCUUUGUUCUAGAAAUCAGAAAACAAGGAGAAGAAGCACUGCUUUAAUUACAUUUAGUGGUUUCUCCUAGGUACAGAGACAUGGUCAUGGAUCUUUCUAUAUAUAUAUAUAGCAGUGUCCCUGGUAUGGCAGCAUGGCUGUUUGUUCCUGAAUUAGUCAACCAUCCUAGCAGGACCUUGUAGCUAAUGACUACAAUAGCAAGUAUGGCUUUGAGUGCCACAGAGGUAAGAGAGCAAGAAAGAAAACAGAGCCAUGUCUGUAGGAGUGUGCACCCUAAUGGCAGAGUGGCAAAACUAGCCUUUGUCCCCGAAAAAAGGAAAGAAGGCCAAAAGUUUCUCUCAAGGAUUAGGUGAAAAGCCACCUCAUGGGACCUCAGGGACUUCACCAAAUACUUGAGGACAUCUAAUUGGAUAGAAGCCAAAAAGUCCUGCUUGAUCCAUCAGGGAGAAAAAGAAGAGAAAAGAGCUAAGUGCUUUUGUGAGGUGUUUUUACCAGGAGCAGACCUCUGCACCUGGCUCGAGUUUUUCUCUUUGUUAUUAUGCCUUUUAUUAAACCUUUUUGUUUCUAACACUG